GUAAUAGCAAUAUGAAAACAGGAUGAACAACUUAGUAAACGAAGAUGAAAAGCAAAUACUGAAUACUGAAUAGAUUAAGAACACAGUGUCUGCGGAAUAAAACUUAGUUAACGAAAAUUUAAAAUACAUGCUACUUAUAGCGAAAUAUUCCGAAACUCUAAUACUCAAAACGACGCAGUAUCGAGACGGAUUAAGAACGGUACUCAACCCAGGUGGUCAAGUGAAUGGUCGAGUGAUAAGCUGGAGUCUUCUUCUCUUCCUUGUGCUCGAGUGUCUGGUUGAGUGCGGAAUGGAGAAAACUCUGAAGCUGACAGUCGAGUAUGAAGUCGAGUGAUAGAGAUCGUGGUACUUGGCUUGUUGGUAGAGCGAUUGAUCGAGUGGAUGAUGAUGGUGAUACUCGACCUGUUGUUAGAGUGAUUGAUCGAGUGAAUGAUGAUGGUGGGAU
rnacentral:sRNA from 1 species